GCAAGUAAAAGUCGUAACAAGGUCUCCGUUGGUGAACCAGCGGAGGGAUCAUUACCGAGUUUACAACUCCCAAACCCAAUGUGAACGUUACCAAACUGUUGCCUCGGCGGGGUCACGCCCCGGGUGCGUCGCAGCCCCGGAACCAGGCGCCCGCCGGAGGAACCAACCAAACUCUUUCUGUAGUCCCCUCGCGGACGUUAUUUCUUACAGCUCUGAGCAAAAAUUCAAAAUGAAUCAAAACUUUCAACAACGGAUCUCUUGGUUCUG
rnacentral:misc_RNA from 1 species